GACGAACGCUGGCGGCGUGCUUAACACAUGCCAGUCGAACGGAAAGGCCCUGCUUGCCGGGUACUCGAGUGGCGAACGGGUGAGUAACACGUGGGUGAUCUGCCCUGCACUUCGGGAUAAGCCUGGGAAACUGGGUCUAAUACCGGAUAGGAGCCAGUUUUAGUGUGAUGGUUGGAAAGUUUUUUCGGUGUAGGAUGAGCUCGCGGCCUAUCAGCUUGUUGGUGGGGUAAUGGCCUACCAAGGCGGCGACGGGUAGCCGGCCUGAGAGGGUGGACGGCCACACUGGGACCGAGAUACGGCCCAGACUCCUAAGGGAGGCAGAAGUGGGGAAUAUUGCACCAUGGGCGCAAGCCUGAUGCAGCGACGCCGCGUGGGGGAUGACGGCCUUCGGGUUGUAAACUCCUUUCGCUAGGGACGAAGCUUUUUGUGACGGUACCUAGAUAAGAAGCACCGGCUAACUACGUG
rnacentral:rRNA from 1 species